GUAUAAGAGACAGCAGCCGCCGCGGUAACACGGAGGGUGCAAGCGUUAUCCGGAUUUAUUGGGUUUAAAGGGUCCGUAGGCGGAUCUGUAAGUCAGUGGUGAAAUCUCACAGCUUAACUGUGAAACUGCCAUUGAUACUGCAGGUCUUGAGUAAAUUUGAAGUGGCUGGAAUAAGUAGUGUAGCGGUGAAAUGCAUAGAUAUUACUUAGAACACCAAUUGCGAAGGCAGGUCACUAAGAUUUAACUGACGCUGAUGGACGAAAGCGUGGGGAGCGAACAGGAUUAGAUACCCGGGUAGUCCCUGUCUCUUAUAC
rnacentral:rRNA from 1 species